rnacentral:rRNA from 1 species
AAAUUGACGGGGGCCCGCACAAGCGGCGGAGCAUGCGGAUUAAUUCGAUGCAACGCGAAGAACCUUACCAAGGCUUGACAUACACCGGUAACGCCCAGAGAUGGGUGCCCCUUUGUGGUCGGUGGACAGGUGGUGCAUGGGUUGUCGUCAGCUCGUGUCGUGAGAUGUUGGGUUAAGUCCCGCAACGAGCGCAACCCUCGUCCUAUGUUGCCAGCGGGUCAUGCCGGGGACUCAUGGGAGACUGCCGGGGUCAACUCGGAGGAAGGUGGGAUGACGUCAAAUCAUCAUGCCCCUUAUGUCUUGGGCUUCACGCAUGCUACAAUGGCCGGUACAAAGGGCUGCGAUACCGCGAGGUGGAGCGAAUCCCAGAAAGCCGGUCUCAGUUCGGAUUGGGGUCUGCAACUCGACCCCAUGAAGUCGGAGUCGCUAGUAAUCGCAGAUCAGCAACGCUGCGGUGAAUACGUUCCCGGGCCUU